rnacentral:rRNA from 1 species
ACAGCAGCCGCCACGGGAAUACGUAGGGUGCAAGCGUUAAUCGGAAUUACUGGGCGUAAAGCGUGCGCAGGCGGUUCGUUAAGACAGAUGUGAAAUCCUCGGGCUUAACCUGGGAACUGCAUUUGUGACUAGCGGGCUAGAGUAUGACAGAGGGGGGUAGAAUUCCACGUGUAGCAGUGAAAUGCGUAGAGAUGUGGAGGAAUACCGAUGGCGAAGGCAGCCCCCUGGCCAAUACUGACGCUCAUGCACGAAAGCGUGGGGAGCAAACAGGAUUAGAUACCCCAGUAGUCCCUGUCUCUUAUACA